rnacentral:rRNA from 1 species
AACGAACGCUGGCGGCAUGCCUAACACAUGCAAGUCGAACGAGACCUUCGGGUUUAGUGGCGCACGGGUGCGUAACCCGUGGGAACCUGCCUUUAGGUUUGCAAUAACUUCCCGAAAGGGGUGCUAAUACCGGAUAAUGUCCUCGGACCAAAGAUUUAUCGCCUUUGGAUGGGCCGAGGUCGGCGUAGUUAGUUGGUAGGGUAAAGGCCUACCAAGGCGACGAGCCAUAGCGGCGAUGAGAGGAUGAUCAGCAACACUGGUAAUGAGAAACGGCCCAGACUGGGAAGGGAGGCAGAAGUGGGGAAUAUUGGACAAGGGGCGAAAGCGGGAUCCAGAAAUGCCGCGUGUGGGAAGAAGGCAUUCGGAGGGGAAAGCACGGUAAGAGGGAAGGAAGGGGAGGGAGGUAAUACCGUGGUGGGAUGACGGGACCAACAGAAUAAGCACCGGCUAACUACGUG